rnacentral:rRNA from 1 species
AUUGAACGCUGGCGGCAUGCUUUACACAUGCAAGUCGAACGGUAACAGGCCGCAAGGUGCUGACGAGUGGCGAACGGGUGAGUAAUGCAUCGGAACGUGCCCAGUCGUGGGGGAUAACGCAGCGAAAGCUGCGCUAAUACCGCAUACGAUCUAUGGAUGAAAGCGGGGGACCGAAAGGCCUCGCGCGAUUGGAUCGGCCGAUGUCAGAUUAGGUAGUUGGUGGGGUAAAGGCCCACCAAGCCAACGAUCUGUAGCUGGUCUGAGAGGACGACCAGCCACACUGGGACUGAGACACGGCCCAGACUCCUACGGGAGGCAGCAGUGGGGAAUUUUGGACAAUGGGCGCAAGCCUGAUCCAGCAAUGCCGCGUGCAGGAAGAGGGCCUUCGGGUUGUAAACUGCUUUUGUACGGAACGAAACGGUCCGGGUUAAUACCCUGGGCUAAUGACGGUACCGUAAGAAUAAGCACCGGCUAACUACGUGCCAGCCGCCGCGGUAACAC